rnacentral:rRNA from 1 species
AACGAUGAACCACUUCGGUGGGGAUUAGUGGCGAACGGGUGAGUAACACGUGGGCAAUCUGCCCUGCACUCUGGGACAAGCCCUGGAAACGGGGUCUAAUACCGGAUACUGACUACUGGGGGCAUCUUCAGUGGUCGAAAGCUCCGGCGGUGCAGGAUGAGCCCGCGGCCUAUCAGCUUGUUGGUGAGGUAGUGGCUCACCAAGGCGACGACGGGUAGCCGGCCUGAGAGGGCGACCGGCCACACUGGGACUGAGACACGGCCCAGACUCCUACGGGAGGCAGCAGUGGGGAAUAUUGCACAAUGGGCGAAAGCCUGAUGCAGCGACGCCGCGUGAGGGAUGACGGCCUUCGGGUUGUAAACCUCUUUCAGCACGGAAGAAGCGAAAGUGAC